GCCAAGCCCCGUGCCUCUUCGCUUCUUCCUUCUGCUUCUCAGGUACCAAUUCAGGUAAAAGAAGCAGCAGAUACGGCCCUAGAUUUGGGAGAACAAGAAAACGAACCUAGACAAAGGAGUAAAGCAAGGAAAAUAUUCAUGGACGACCAAAGGAUAUAUCCUAGGGCUCACAACCUAAAGUGCCACUCUUCCUUAUGAUAAUCAAGCAUCAAGAACAAGUACCAUAUUAAGCCCAAGGGCUACCAUCCCUUGAAUUGCCCCAUAAUGUUGUGGCAGUGCCUUGGUUGGG